rnacentral:rRNA from 1 species
AGACUUUGAUCCUGGCUCAGGAUGAACGCUAGCUACAGGCUUAACACAUGCAAGUCGAGGGGCAGCAUGGUCUUAGCUUGCUAAGGCUGAUGGCGACCGGCGCACGGGUGAGUAACACGUAUCCAACCUGCCGUCUACUCUUGGCCAGCCUUCUGAAAGGAAGAUUAAUCCAGGAUGGGAUCAUGAGUUCACAUGUCCGCAUGAUUAAAGGUAUUUUCCGGUAGACGAUGGGGAUGCGUUCCAUUAGAUAGUAGGCGGGGUAACGGCCCACCUAGUCAACGAUGGAUAGGGGUUCUGAGAGGAAGGUCCCCCACAUUGGAACUGAGACACGGUCCAAACUCCUACGGGAGGCAGCAGUGAGGAAUAUUGGUCAAUGGGCGAUGGCCUGAACCAGCCAAGUAGCGUGAAGGAUGACUGCCCUAUGGGUUGUAAACUUCUUUUAUAAAGGAAUAAAGUCGGGUAUGCAUACCCGUUUGCAUGUACUUUAUGAAUAAGGAUCGGCUAACUCCGUGCCAGCAGCCGCGGUAAUACGGAGGAUCCGAGCGUUAUCCGGAUUUAUUGGGUUUAAAGGGAGCGUAGAUGGAUGUUUAAGUCAGUUGUGAAAGUUUGCGGCCCAACCGUAAAAUUGCAGUUGAUACUGGAUGUCUUGAGUGCAGUUGAGGCAGGCGGAAUUCGUGGUGUAGCGGUGAAAUGCUUAGAUAUCACGAAGAACUCCGGUUGCGAAGGCAGCCUGCUAAGCUGCAACUGACAUUGAGGCUCGAAAGUGUGGGUAUCAAACAGGAUUAGAUACCCUGGUAGUCCACACGGUAAACGAUGAAUACUCGCUGUUUGCGAUAUACGGCAAGCGGCCAAGCGAAAGCGUUAAGUAUUCCACCUGGGGAGUACGCUGGCAACGGUGCAACUCAAAGGAAUUGA